GAUGAAGAACGUAGCGAAAUGCGAUACGUAAUGUGAAUUGCAGAAGUCAGUGAAUCAUCGAAUCUUUGAACGCAUAUUGCGCUCUCUGGUAUUCCGGAGAGCAUGCUUGUUUGAGUAUCAGUAAACACCUCAACUUCCAUAUCUUUUUUGAAAUGGGAGUUGGACUUGAGUGAUCCCAACGCUUUUCCUCACCGAAAAGUGGCGGGUUACUUGAAAUGCAGGUGCAGCUGGACUUUUCUCUGAGCUAUAAGCAUAUCUAUUUAGUCUGCCUAAAAACAGAUUAUUACCUUUGCUGCAGCUAACAUAAAGGAGAUUAGUUCUUGUGCUGACUGAUGCAGGAUUCACAAAGACAGGCUUCGGCCGACUUUGUAAACUCGAUCUCAAAUCAAGUAAGACUACCCGCUGAACUUAAGCAUAUCAAUAAGCGGAGGA
rnacentral:misc_RNA from 1 species